CCGAUGAAAGAACGGACGGUGAGUGAAGAGAGGAGGAGAAGAGAGAGGACGUUUGUGAUUAAGUCAAGAAGUGGUUGGAGUGGAGCGGUUGCAGUUUGUGGUUUUGUUAGUUCGCCGGAGACGGCGGCGGAGGAGUGAUGCAUGGAGGGAGGGGAGUGAAGUUACAUGAAGAAAGAGAGAGAGAGGAGAAAGGGUUUUGUUUUGCCUUAUAGAGAAAGCGGUGAAUGAGUCAAACAAGCGUAAUAUACGGAACACGGAGGAAUUAUAUAACAAACUGAAUAAGAAUGUACUAGUGACUCGAGUUUAUGUUAGCCUUAAAAAAAAAAAAAAUGUAUUUUUUAUGUGUUUAUAAGUUUGGUCAAAUUUAA